rnacentral:lncRNA from 1 species
CGGAGGGGCGGGGCGGGGCGGGGCUGCGGGCGCGGAGCCGCGGGCCGCGGCGGGGCGGGUCCCCGGGGGGCCUCGGAGCCGUCUCUGGAGCCGCGACCCCCACGGGCAGCCCCCGCGUGGCUCCCCGGCUGCCCUGUCAUCACCGGGGCCCUGCGCCGCCCCUCGCCGCCCGCCGCCGAGACCCCUAGGUCGGAGCUGCCCGGCCCCGCGGGGCGCCGCCCCCCCCGGAGCCAGUCUGCGACCCGGACCGGCACGUGCUGCUCGGACCAGCCCGGGAGCCGCGGUCCCGUCCUCCCCCAGGGUGUGUGUCGGGAAGAGGGAGUGAUGCGCUGCCAGUGAAACGCUCCUUUGUCAGCCGCUGAGCACGGCCCCAACAGAUCGGCGUCUCCAGAACGCCUCUGACAAAAGGUGGGACAAGGAGAACCCAGGCCCGGGCUGCCCUUGGGGUGGGGGAGGCCCAGCUGGGUCUUUUUUCCCCUCAAGGGGCCUUAUUUGGGCGGAGAGAAAUCCAGUGUAUGUGCAUGCUUGACUUGAAUACCACAACAUCUCAGGAAGAUGCCUUUGAAGGGGAGGACAUCCUUGGGUCUGGACCUGGACUGGGCGCUGGGGCACCGGGACCCAGUGCUGGCCCCGUCACCCACCAGGCAUGACAUGAAGCAAGCCGCAUCCGCAUCCUAGGCUGCUGGAAGGAGUUGGGCAGGUCAUCUCUAAGGGCACCCGAGCUGGGAGGCCAAGGAGAAAGGGAAGUAGAGAAGGGAGACAGGAACAUUGGAGCCCUGGUAGCUGUGGGCCAGAGGGCACAGGAGAGAGCAAAGUUGAGAACUUUCUGAGUCACGAAACAAGUUUAACUUGGAAACUGUCUCAGCCCUCACUCCUGCAACAGGUGACCCUCUAGAGCCCCAAUGGCUUUCCCAAGCCUUUGGCAUACCCAUUGUGUAGCCCACAGGUACGGUCCUGGGUCCCUGAGCAGGUGUCCCCUCUGCCCCAGAAAGGAAGGCAGGAGUCAGAAGGAAUUCCAGGUCAGCUGGAAA